rnacentral:rRNA from 1 species
UACGGGGGGGGCAAGCGUUGUUCGGAAUUACUGGGCGUAAAGGGCUCGUAGGUGGCCAACUAAGUCAGACGUGAAAUCCCUCGGCUUAACCGGGGAACUGCGUCUGAUACUGGAUGGCUUGAGUUUGGGAGAGGGACGCGGAAUUCCAGGUGUAGCGGUGAAAUGCGCAGAUAUCAGGAGGAACACCGGUGGCGAAGGCGGGUCUCUGGGCAGUAACUGACGCUGAGGAGCGAAAGCGUGGGGAGCGAACAGG